AUUCGUACAAGAAUCUUUGGGCUUCUCUUCACACCCUCACACUUCCCCCUCAGAAAGAAUAUUCACUUCCUCAAAGACCCAACCUCUCUCCAACACCUCAUGCCGAUCCUGUGAUCUUAUUGGAAGGAUCAACAGUCAUAAAAACCACAAAAAAACAAAUGCAAAAUAGCUAGCCAGCACGGAUAUAAGUGACAGUCAGUCACUUCAGCUUGCAACAGGCAGAGCGAGGAAGGAGAGAAGAAGAAGAAGAUCACUGCUUGAGAAAAAAUACCAAACACCCCGUCAAUAACACCACAAGAUGGCCGGUAGGACGAAUGGACUGGAAAAUUAUUUUCUCUUUGAAAAAGUGUGAGAGCGAGAAAACAAAGUGCAUUUUAAUAUAUUUUUCUAGACAAGACUAAUUUCUUCGGUGAAUCAUCAUCAUCCACAGAGCCGACGACCCAUUCUCGAUUUGAAGAAGAAGAAGAAGAAGACUUUAACCUGACCCGGGAUGAUUUUGAUGAGCUGGACAGGCUCGAUAAUCAGACUCGAAAUCUGACCUCGACAGCCAGUGAAGUCCCAGGACCUUC